rnacentral:rRNA from 1 species
UACGUAGGGUGCAAGCGUUGUCCGGAAUUAUUGGGCGUAAAGAGCUCGUAGGCGGUCUGUCGCGUCGGCUGUGAAAACCUGGGGCUCAACUCCGGGCCUGCAGCCGAUACGGGCAAGCUAGAAUUCGGUAGGGGAGACUGGAAUUCCUGGUGUAGCGGUGAAAUGCGCAGAUAUCAGGAGGAACACCGGUGGCGAAGGCGGGUCUCUGGGCCGAUAUUGACGCUGAGGAGCGAAAGCAUGGGGGGCGAACAGG